rnacentral:rRNA from 1 species
GACAGGAGGGUGCAAACGUUGCUCGGAAUUACUGGGCGUAAAGCGCGUGUAGGUGGAACUGGUGUGAUCAGAGUGUGAAAUCCCUGGGCUCAACCCAGGAACUGGCACCUGAAACUACCAGCCUUGAGUGGUGGAGAGGGAAGUGGAAUUCCUAGGUGUAGAGGUGAAAUUCGUAGAUAUCAGGAGGAACACCAGUGGCGAAGGCGGCUUCCUGGACACAACUGACGCUGAGACGCGAAAGCGUGGGGAGCAAACAGG